AACAUUAGCGCUGUGCCUCCCCAUCUUCCUCUUUCUACUCUUCCUGUAACCUCAGAGGUGGAGAAGAAAAUGAAGGAGGAUUAGUAGAACUCUGAAUCAUCCAAAUUACUCUAAAUGACUUCUUCCAGAAGGCACAGCCGAUGUGUGGCAUGUUUAAGAUGACAUUUCAGUCGUAGAGGUAAUUUGCAUUCUAUUUGACUCCGAACGGCACGCCGAUAUUAAGGAUUCCGCUGGCAUUUUUUUGAUUCGCUCAGUUCAAAGAUACACGCUAAGCAGCCGGGCUUAAUCAGGAAGUCCAGUGGUCUUACAGAGGGAGAUGGAGAGUGGACGCACAUGAAGUUCAGAGUUCUGUUCAGAAUCAUCUCGGCUCAAGGCAUUAUGUCCACUGAAGAUACAGGUUGAGCUUCAAGCACGCCGGAAUGCCAGGACCGCCUGACAGAAGGCCGCUGUACUCCCAGCAGUGACUCACUGAAGCAUCCCUGCCAUCCCGCAUUGUAAAGCUCUAGGCCUGGCAUCCUCAACUCCACAGUGAGGCAUUAAAGCUGGGCCUGGGAUUUCGAAGACUUCAGAAGCCACACACAUGCAGAUGUGUAAACGCCUGCCCACUGGCAAGCUCAUGUAGCACGGUUUCAAACGUACAUAAUAAAGUUGAUAUACUAGGCUUAAAAACAAACAAACAAUAAAAAAGGAUAUGUUGUAUACUUUUUAUAUGAGUCCAAUAAUCACAAUUACAGUGAUGUAACUUGGGAAUAAUUGCAUCAAUUAAAAUUUUACAGUUGCGGCAAAGCACUGUUUUCUUAAUAAAAUAUUACACACUGUAACAUUCAUUGUUUACAA